rnacentral:lncRNA from 1 species
UUAAACAUAGGGAUAGAUUAGUUGCUUGAUAUUUUUUGUAUUUUUUUAUUAUAAGUAAUUUAAUCCAUGCCUUUUUAUUUAUAAGAAUAUUCAUUAUAUACAAGUAUGACAUGGUCUAUAUUUGGAAGUUAAUAAUAUACAAUUAUGAUGUAUAUCAAUUAUAAAGAUAUCCUAAUAAUUAUACUAAUUGUAGAGAUAUUCUAAUACUUCCCCGCAGUUGAAGCGGGAGGUGGACGGACGUUGAGGUUGUCUC